UGCCGACGGCCCGAAACGCUUAGGCGCACGCACGCGGCGUGCCGCGCGCGGCAGGCGCCCCGGACGCGGUCGACGUUCCCCACCGUCAUCUUGCCCGAACUCGUUCACUUGUGGCGGGGACCGAGUUGCUCCGUUGUUUCGGUAUUUCCACGAUAACAACUACGUACUGCUGCAGCAGCAGCUGCUGCUGCCGGUGACGUAUUCGCUUUUUCGGACGACUGUCGUGACCCCCCGCCGCCACCGUGGGUUAACCAGCUGUGCGGUCACGUGCCCGUGUGGUGUGUGCGGCCGCGACGAGUUUGACGGGUGAGUGGGUGAUGCGGCAGCAGGCUCCACAAGCGAAUUCCUAUAUUUGGUCAUGAUGUACCACCGUUUCUCUUAUCACGUGGUGGUUGUUUCGGAUAAUGUUCACAGAUCUGAUUUGCAACUAUUUUUUUACGCAUAGGUAUAUAUUUUAAAAGCAGUUGUAUAAUUUGAUCUGUGCCAAACGUUAUCACAACCACCGCGACGUAGCGAGCUUAGCGAAGGAAGUUGUCAAAUUGAUUCCCAGCUUUGAAGAAUUUGGAACUUUAACGUCGAACAAGAUCAAAAUUACACAAUAUGAUCUGUAAAUUGGCUGACACGUAUUUAGAUGAAGUAACCAGUUAUAUCGCUGGAUUGCAGUAAAAAAAAAAAAAAUUGUGUGUCAUUAAUUAUUGGUUGACUGUUCAAGUCAACGUUUUAAACCAAUUACAGAAAAAGAUUGAAAUUAUUAUCUAUUAAAACCGAGUCAAGAUAUAGAGAAGUGUGCCAAGAAACAAAAGAAUGUUCAGAUCACAUUACACUGUUUAUAUUACCCAAUAUUAAACCAAAAAUGUUUAAUGAAAUAAAACAAAAAAAAAUAUAAAAAACCUAAUAUUUUCAGAGAAUUCAAUUAUCAGUUAUCACUGUAAAAGUCAACAAUAUGAUUCAACACAUAUCGGGAUCAAAUAAUACAUUGGGCCAUAUUUAAAUACUUGUUUCCAUCAUGCUGUGGAAUCGACAGAAAAUUUAAUGGUAAUGGACAUAUUUUUUAUUUGGGAUACUAACCUUGGGAUAAGAAAUUUUGAUGGUCGUCGGUUAAAAAUUCUUCGUUCAAAUCAUCGCUGUCGCUGCUGUUCAUCGUUAGAUCGAGGUAAGAUCGGACGGCCACAGCGAAAUUUACUCGUCGCUUAAAAAACCGAAUAAAUACCUAACUGCGAUGUGCAGAGUUAGACGUAUUCACACGAACUCAACAGCUACAACAACUCGACACGAAUAUCAAACUGGAGACGACCGCGGUGCACGGCGUAAAUACCGAAGUCGUAAACACAAAAUAAUAACCAACAAUCAGAUAUCGGGAGAGUUGUUGUUGUUAUGUUCAAAGUUCAAGUCCCAGGACAGGAGUGCGGGACACGGUCGCACAGACAACAGAAUGAGAUAAGAUGAUGCAAUGAAACGCCCGACUCACAAGUUACAACCCAAGAGUGAAUUGAGUUUACCUCACGAUUAAAGGAAUCUCGAAAAAAAUACCAAGGAAAAAGAACAAAAAAAAAAAAAA